rnacentral:lncRNA from 1 species
CUCGGAAUAUCCUCGGAAAUUCCUCGGGAUAUUCUGAGGAUUUUAUUUUCCGUCAGAAUGCCCGUCAGAAUACCGCUGUUUUCUUGUAGUAGUGUAUGUGUUUGAUUGAUUGCCUUACUAAAGUAUAGGAGUAGGUGACAACGUCAGCUUUAGUUAUGACUUAUGAGGUUAGAAUAAUGAGACAUCUCUAAAAAAUGUUUUUUAUAAUGAUAUCUUUAUUAAUUCCAAUAUGUAAAUCUAUGGAACAAAAUACUUA